rnacentral:lncRNA from 1 species
AAAACUAUAACCAAUAUAAUGACAUAUAAACUAGACUAAUAUAUUGAUAGAUAGUAACCUCUCUCCUCUCUCUGUUCUCUCUCUAGAUCUUUCACAGAGAGAGUGAGACGAUGGUUCUUAAUCUCCGGUCGUUUUCGACGAGCGAAAAUCUGUUUCAGCAGUCGAUGGUUUCUUCAACAUCGAUUGGAUGGCUUAUGUCUCCGACGGCAGGCUCUUCUUUUGGUGACGCCGUUGGCUUUUGGCUCCGACGACACACCAGCGGCUCCGGUGUACUUGUUGGCUCUUGGCUUCGCCUCUAGCGUUCUCUUAUGGCGUAGAUGGCGUUUAUCUCCAGGGCUUUCCUGGGUUUGGUGAUCUCUGCUUCUUCGCGUCUUCCCUGUUUCAAUCAGUUUCAUCUCGGCUGGUUUGAGAUCGAUCGUUUUGAUUGGAACUCUAUUACUGAAGCAAGAUCGUUUGGCUUUGGAUUUUCGCUGCUCAAGUGGCUUUCGGAAGAGGAUUGAUGGUUGAUUUGUUCAAUCUAAAAACUUCAGUUUUAAAAGUCCCUAGUUUAAGUCUAAAGCGGUGUAAAUGAUGGUGCUUUCAUCUACUUGUAUCGUUUCCGCUGAGUCUCUUCGAACGGGAUCCUGUUCCGGUUUGUUUCCGGUGGAUUCACCGACUAGAGCUUCGUCGGACUCGAUCUUGUCACUGAAGUCGUUGGUGACUCGCAUGGUGGACACGUGUCCCUGCCACGCUAUCAGUUAACGCGUGGAGUCGGUCGAGUCCCUUACUUUCUUCUUAAGGCUUCUUUUUGAUUUGGGUUUGUGGGUUUCGGGUAGCUUUUUUCUUUUGCUUUUGGGCUUAUUGUCUUUGACUUUAGCCUUUGUAAUUUUGGUUUUUAAUGUUAAUACAGAUGAGAAAAAAAAGUUUUGUGACAAAAAAAAAAACUAGACUAAUAUACAUGGUCAACUGUUGACCUUUCUAUUUUAAUCUUUAUUGGAAGCCAAAAUAAAUAUAAUCAAAUCCUCUUUCAUGACGUCCAGUGAUUCAAGGUGUGAAAAGACUCAAAUAAAUCAUGUUUCAUGUUUUCAUGAUCAAGCGGUCAAGGUGUGAUGAUUUUAAUGAAGUAGCGUUCCAAAAAAAAAAAAAUCAUGUUUCAUGACGUUUAGUGAUCUAGGCCAUAGUGUGAGUAGUUGCGAUGUGUGCAAAGUGAACCAAACAGAAAAAAACAGACCAAUUGGUUGAAGCAAUUUGAAUCAAUAAGUAAAAUGUUUUAAAUAAUUAACAUAAAAUUGAUCAAUAACGUUAACUUCUAAUGCAAUGAACAUAUCAUUUACUCUUACGUAUUUGUUCCUUGCUCUUAGUUGAAGUAUUUCGAGC